rnacentral:rRNA from 1 species
GACGAACGCUGGCGGCGUGCCUAAUACAUGCAAGUUGAGCGCUGAAGGUUGGUACUUGUACCAACUGGAUGAGCAGCGAACGGGUGAGUAACGCGUGGGGAAUCUGCCUUUGAGCGGGGGACAACAUUUGGAAACGAAUGCUAAUACCGCAUAAAAACUUUAAACACAAGUUUUAAGUUUGAAAGAUGCAAUUACAUCACUCAAAGAUGAUCCCGUGUUGUAUUAGCUAGUUGGUGAGGUAAAGGCUCACCAAGGCGAUGAUACAUAGCCGACCUGAGAGGGUGAUCGGCCACAUUGGGACUGAGACACGGCCCAAACUCCUACGGGAGGCAGCAGUAGGGAAUCUUCGGCAAUGGACGAAAGUCUGACCGAGCAACGCCGCGUGAGUGAAGAAGGUUUUCGGAUCGUAAAACUCUGUUGGUAGAGAAGAACGUUGGUGAGAGUGGAAAGCUCAUCAAGUGACGGUAACUACCCAGAAAGGGACGGCUAACUACGUG